UGAGGAAUAUUGGUCAAUGGGCGGAAGCCUGAACCAGCCAAGUCGCGUGAGGGAAGACGGCCCUACGGGUUGUAAACCUCCUUUGCCGGGGAGCAAUGCCCAGCUCGCGAGCUGGGAAGGAGAGUACCCGGAGAAAAGCAUCGGCUAACUCCGUGCC
rnacentral:rRNA from 1 species